rfam:Lupinus angustifolius cultivar Tanjil contig_22477, whole genome shotgun sequence.
AUGUGCGAUCAUACCAGCACUAAUGCACCGGAUCCUAUCAGAACUCCGCAUAUAAGUGUGCUUGGGCGAGAGUAGUACUACGAUGGGUGACCUCCUUGGAAGUCCUCGUGUUGCACCUC